CAUCUUCGCCUCAUCUUUAUUUUAAUCUUGCGUCCGCCACUGCUCUCUAUGAAUAUCGAUUAUCCAUGUUGCCUCUAUAAAUAAUAAUGACCCGGCACGAAAUGCUGGUAUCAGAUAUGAGCAGCGUGCAGAUCGUUUGAGCAGCUAGCAACAAAUUACAAGAGGGUGGUAGCUAGGCAGCUAGCUAGUUAGGCCGGAUGGCGCGGCUGCAGCGACGACGUCUCGUGCUGCCGCUCCUGCAGCUCGCCGUGGUGCUCUGGUUGGCGGCUACCAGCGGCUGCUUGUGCCGCCGGCCGCCGACCCCGAUCGCCGGCGUCCCGUCGCCGCCGAUUCUGCCGGACGGCGACCGGACACCGGAGUCGCCUCCAGCUCCCGUAUCCGCAAAACACCCGAACUUCUCGGUCCUUCCGCCGCCGGGCUGCUCGCCGGAUUGCACCGACCAGCAACGUCAGCCUUAAUUAGUUAGGGACUAUCAACGACGUACGUUCAGCAUAUAUACUCUGGUUGCAAACGUGUAAUUAUAUAGUAUGCUCUGUAAGUUCGUUCCGAUUUCAAAUGUAAUGCAAUUUAGCGCAUUGUAUAUUUGUAUUCUCAA